GUCCCCUCUUAUAGGUGUCCGGCUGUAGUCACUGAGUGCAUGCUGGAGCCACCGCCUGAGCUAGGGCAGAUCAGGGUCACUGUGAGACUCAAAUGGAAACAGCAUGCAUGGAUAGUAGAAAGAACUUAAGAGUUUGGAAGUCAGAAGACCAGGGUCCCAGUCCUAGCUCUGUGAUGACUACAUGACCUCGACUUGUACCACCAUCUGUGUGACCAUCUUCUCAAUGGCCAUUUCCAGCCAGAACCGUCAGCAGCUGGAGUUUCCGCAUUGCCCUGGGUCUCUAGGACCUCAGUCCUGUGUCCACAUCACCAGCUCCUGAGGUUCCUGCAAGCAGCACUUCUAGAACUACAGCUGACAUCUUCCUCACCAUGUCUCCAGCGAUUUUCCAUUGAUUUAAUGCAGAUCCAAAAAGUUCUCUUCUUCUAAAACCUCAA